CAGUGCUCUGGCCCUACUGCUGAAACACCUUGGUGAGCUGGGCCCAGACACUGAAACAGUAAAUCCAAUAGAAACCAGGGAUAUUUCCCUGUUUGGUGUGCCCUGUGCCACACUGAGCAAUCUCUCCUGCCAUCUCUCCUAUGGGCUGACACUGAUGGAGCUCUGGCUCAGGGCUCAGACAUCACUGCAAACUCAAAUUAUCUGCAUUUGGUACUGAAAUCAAUGCAUUCACACUCAGAAGAACCUGGAAGGAACUAGAUUGACAUCAGACCGAUGCCUCUACUCAUCCUGGCAAGAGGAGAAGAUCCAGAGCUUGAAAUCUACACCUUUUAUGUUCUGCUGCCUCAUCAGAUGACCCUUCAUGGUUGUGUGACUCUGACAGAGGAAAAACACUGUAGGAUUUGAGGAAAACACACUUUUUUAAAGUCAA